rnacentral:rRNA from 1 species
UUUAAGUCAGCGGUGAAAUUUUGCAGCUUAACUGUAACAGUGCCGUUGAUACUGUUUGGCUAGGAUUUGGUUGUAGUGUGCGGAAUGUGUGGUGUAGCGGUGAAAUGCUUAGAUAUCACACAGAACACCGAUUGCGAAGGCAGCACACUAAGUCAUUAUUGACGCUGAGGCACGAAAGUGUGGGGAUCAAACAGGAUUAGAUACCCUGGUAGUCCACACUGUAAACGAUGAUAACUCGCUGUCGGCGAUACACAGUCGGUGGCCAAGCGAAAGCAUUAAGUUAUCCACCUGGGGAGUACGACCGCAAGGUUGAAACUCAAAGGAAUUGACGGGGGCCCGCACAAGCGGAGGAACAUGUGGUUUAAUUCGAUGAUACGCGAGGAACCUUACCCGGGCUCGAACGGUGCAUGAAUAUACGAGAGAUUGUAUAGUCCUUCGGGACAUGUAUCGAGGUGCUGCAUGGUUGUCGUCAGCUCGUGCCGUGAGGUGUCGGCUUAAGUGCCAUAACGAGCGCAACCCUUGUCAUUAGUUGCCAUCAGGUCAAGCUGGGGACUUUAAUGAGACUGCCACCGUAAGGUGUGAGGAAGGGGGGGAUGACGUCAAAUCAGCACGGCCCUUAUGUCCGGGGCGACACACGUGUUACAAUGGGAGGUACAGAGGGCAGCUAUCCGGUGACGGAAUGCUAAUCUCCAAAACCUUUCUCAGUUCGGAUUGGAGUCUGCAACUCGACUCCAUGAAGGUGGAUUCGCUAGUAAUCGCGCAUCAGCCAUGGCGCGGUGAAUACGUUCCCGGGCCUUGUACACACCGCCCGUCAAG